rnacentral:lncRNA from 1 species
AAUUUCAUUCAGUAUUCCUACAAAAAAAUCAUAUAAUUUUAAUAAUUAAUAAUAAUAAUAAUUUAUUCGACUAAAAACAAACAUUGUACAAACAAAUCGAAAUAAAAUAACAUAACUGGUGUAGCAAACACCCACGCAUGCACAAUACAUGUUUAUCAUCAUAGACUAAAUGAAGCCCCAAAGGUAAUAUAAAAAAAGGUUAUAUUCACUGUAUCAGGGGUUUCCCCAUAAACAAAUUCUAUUCUAACUGAUAACAAAUAUUAGUAAGUGAAAAACCUACUCACAGUUACAAUUAUUAUCAAAUACUAAAUAGUAGCAGUGAAUAACAUGGAAAUUAUACUGUUUGCAUUUGUGACUGAUUGAGCAAUUCAAACUAGGAAAGGAGUUCUUAGAAUCAUCCAAAGAAUUCGAAGUAGCUAGAAUAACCUGAGAUUUUCAAUGAUCUGAAAAAAUUGAACAAUAAUAGGAAUAUGUUUCUGACUUGUCUUGGACACAAUCUUACGCCGUAGCAAAGCAAGUGCUGAGAGGGUGAACCCGUCUAGCGAGUUGGACUGCUUCUGGGGAAGUUGAAUGCUCAUGCCUACUGUAUACAGACAGUUACAGUUAUUUUGAAAAACUGGUCUUGAUCUUCCCCUCCAUGAUCAAGGACACCUACGUUGUUUCUCGAACGCAAGUGUAUGUUGGUAUCGACACGAAAGUAGACUCGAACAUUAUUGAUGAUGAAGGAAAAAGGGUGAACGUUUCGGGUUUUUCCAUUCCUUCAGGUUGAUAUUUCUCUGUUCAGAAUCAAAUGAUGCAUUCAAGUUAAAUAGGAAUUGUGGAAAAUAUUGUAGAUAAGAAAUAACUCCAUAUUGAUUUAAACAUUCAUUUAAUUGAAAGGAAAGAUUCCUGAAAAAAUUUCAAGUGUUAUCAAUUCAACUUUACUCAUGAAAUUAAAGUAAUUUAUUAAUUGCUGGAAAUCGACUAAAGUAUUCUCUCAAAUACGGUUGCAGCAUUAACUAUUAUCAGCAAAUCAAUAGGUGAUGGACUCAUGGAGAUUCGAAUUGAUAGUCUUAGUCGGAAUAUAUUUUCUCUUCUGUUAAUGGAAAAUAAUACUUUGCUACCAUAUAUUCUGUUUUCUAUAGAGAAGAAGUCUUCGAAAGUCGGUUCUGUUAUAUUUAUCAGUGAGGAUAUUACAAGGUUAUGAUUUCUGUACAGUCUAUACCAUUUCUUAUCUGGAUGACGUGAAUUUGCCAUUUUACUAAUAUUUCUACACUCAAUUAUCUUGAAGGCGUACAUUGAAACAUUCCGUUUCAAUAUUCGAAGCAAGAAUGUAGAAUGUUAUUAGAAACAAACCUGACCGUUACAUUUCAGAUAGUUAGUUUACCCUCAGGAUGCUCUCCCUCCGAUUCCAUCCUCUCUGAACACAGUAUCUGUGAGUCGAGUGAUUGUUGGGAACCUGUUGGAAGCUGCGAGCAGCUAAGAAGUGAUCACUUUUGUCGACUACAGGUUGCUGAGUUGACCUCCUUGCAGCGAAGGUGACUGGUACCUGACCAGAGGGUGCGGGCAGCAGAUCCGGUUGUGCCUUUGUUGUCACUAAUUAUUAUGCCUGCUCACUGCUUCCCAGUGACGCAUCACUAGCGUGGGUACAGCGACAUCGCUUCACUUGCUAAGAAGCAGUAUAACUCAGUCGGUGUGAGGCUCUGGAUACAUCAACACAUCAUGUAUCGAGUAGUGUAUCCUGAUACUUCAAAGUGGAAAAUGAGGGUCAUAAGAAUCGCAUGCUACAAUUUCGAGUUACAUGAUGUUGGAGGUGAUUGAAUGGAAGACAACAGAAUGAUCGACUGGACGUAAUGUUUCCUAAGUUGAACACCCUGAUGAUGGUUACUGAUGAUGAUGGUUCUGAUCAUGGUUACUACUUGCAGGAUUAUUCAAGGUACAACCAAGCAGUAGGGAGUAUCCUGUGGUAGCCUCGUCAACUUUCUGGAGCGUUAUCAUGGCAACGUCUGAAAUUAAUUUCAGCUGAUGACGACCAAGUCUAAUGGCAGCGACGUGUGCGUAUGAGGCAACAUCAGCAGCCUUUCUGCGAUGGAGGCCUCUGAAGCUUCAACUCCAGGAGGAAGUUUGAUACAUUCAACAUCCUGGCUUCACUGUUCCUCGCAGAACAACUUUCCAUUAACAAUUUCGACAGGUUGAAGAGCUGUGGAGUCCUGCAGGUGAAAAAUACGUUCAGCGUUACUGUUUCCGGAGCUAUAUUGGAAGAAGGAGAUUCUUGGAGAUUGGAGAAGGGUGAAAAGACGAAGAUCUCACUGGACCAGUGGUUGAUGAUCGUUCUGCUUCCAGAUGAAUGAAUCGAGAUGAGAUGUCCCAGAGAUGUAGUAACAGGGUGUAGAGUGAUCGAUUCUUGCAAGAAUAUCCUG